AACGUAGGAGGCGAGCGUUAUCCGGAUUUACUGGGUGUAAAGCGCGUGCAGGCGGUUUGCUAAGUUGGAUGUGAAAGCUCCCGGCUCAACUGGGAGAGGUCGUUCAAGACUGGUAGACUGGAGAGCAGUAGGGGAAGGUGGAAUUCCGGGUGUAGUGGUGAAAUGCGUAGAUAUCCGGAGGAACACCAGUGGCGAAGGCGGCCUUCUAGACUGCAUCUGACGCUCAGACGCGAAAGCUAGGGUAGCAAACGGG
rnacentral:rRNA from 1 species